CUAUGGCCUCAGACCAGACGUGGCGACCCACUUAAUUUAAGCAUAUUACUAAGCGGAGGAAAAUAAACUAACCAGGAUUCCCUCAGUAACAGCCAGUGAAGAGGGAAGAGCCCAGCACCGAAUCACCUUUCAGUGGCAGGCAUGGGAAAUGUGUUGUACAGAAAACGGACUCUCCAGUGUCGCUCAGGGUGCUCAGGUCCUUCUGAUUGAGUCUCACCCUGCAGACAGUGUUAGUCGGCUAGCGGCCUCUGGCAUGCCAGGAUUGAGUCUUCUUGGAGUAAGGUUGCUUGGAAUCCAGCCCAAAGUGUGUGGUAAAUUCCAUCUAAGGCUAAAUACGGGCACAAGAGCGAAUGACCAACAAGUACAGUAAGAGAAAGUUGAAAAGAACUUUGAAGAGAGAGUUCAAGAGGGCGUGAAAGCGUAGAGAGGUAAACAGGCGGGGUCCGUGCAGUCCACCUGCAGGACUCAACACAGUGGGCAGGUCGGUCGCCUGGAACGGUGGAUGCCCUCGCAGGACUUCAGCCGCGAACACCCACCCCUGCAGGGCGCAUUUCCUCUGUGGCGGUGCACCGCGACCAACUCGCAAGACCUCAGUGAGCAGGUGGCUCUCUGCUCCGGCAGAGAGUGUUACAGCCCCCUGACAGCAGUUUUGCUGUGUCCGCGGGGUCGAGGGAGAUUGACAACCACUGUGCCCUUCUCCGGUAACCGUCCUGGCCCCUCUUGGGGCUCACCGGGGCGGCAGCGGGGCUCCUAAUAGGACUGUGGUGGACUGCCCUCAGUGCGCCUAGACCACAUCGUGCCGCUGGGUGGGGAGGACCACAAAGGGCAUCAGGGGUAUGAGGUGUCUUGAAACACAGACCAAGGAGUCUAACAUGCGCACGAGUCGGAGGGCGAACAAAACCCUGUGGUGCAAUGAAGGUGAGGGCCGGCGUGUGCCGAUUCGGGUAGGAUCCUGUUGCAGUGGACGCACCACCGACCCGUCUCAUCCGCUCUGUCAGGGAGGUGGAGCAUGAGCGUGUGUGAUAGGACCUGAAAUAUGGUGAACAAGGCCUGGGCAGAGCAAAGACAGAGGAAACUCUGGUGGGGGUCCGUAGGGGUCCUGAUGUGCAAAUCGGUCAUCCGACCUGUGUACAGGGGCAAAAGACUAUCGAACCAUCUACUGGCUGGUUCCCGAAGUUUCCCUCAGGAUAGCUGGUGCAUGGAAACCCAGUUUUAUCUGGUAAAGCGAAUGAUUAGAGGUCUUGAGGCUGAAAUUCUCAAAUUUUAAAUGGGUAAUAAGCCAGCCGCGCCGGCGUGGAGCCGGCAUUGAAUGCAAGUGCCCAGUGUGCCACUUUUGGUAAGCAGAACUGAUGCUGUGGCAUUAACCAAAUGCUGGGUUAAGGUGCCCUAUGCCGGCACUCAUUAGACCCCAGAAAAGGUGUUGGUUGAUAUAGACAGCAGGUCGGUGGCCAUGGAAGUCGGAAUCCGCUUAGGUAUGUUUAACAACUCAUCUGCCAAAUCAACUAGUCCUGAAAAUGGAUGACGCUGGAGCGUAUGGCCCAUCCCUGGCCGGUGCUGAGAGCAGCGGGGGCUAAGCCUUGAUGAGCAGGAGGGCCGCUGUGGUGCGCACGCAUGCCCAGGGUGAGUCCCCGAGUGGAGCCGCUGCAGGUGCAGAUCUUGCCAGUAGUAGCAAAUAUUGAAACGAGAACUGUGAAGGUCGGAGUGGAGAAGGGUUCCAUGUGAACAGCAGUUGAACAUGGGUCAAUUGGUCCUAAGAAAUGGUUGAGUGCCGUUCUGAAGGGACGGGCGAUGGCCUCCUCUGCUCUCAGCCGAUCGAAAGAGAGUCUGCUUCAGAUCCCUGAACCCGGAGUAGCAAAGACGGCAGCAUCCAGUGUGAUAAUGCAAACUAUCCCAGAGAAGCUGGUUGGGUCCCCAGGGAGCAUUCUGUUUACUUUAUGAAGGGCUGGGCACCCUGGAAUGGAUUCGCCCCGAGAGAGGGGCACGAGCCUUGGAAAGCGUUGCAGUUCCGGCAGCAUCCGGUGAGCUCUUGCUGGUCCUUGAAAAACCAGGGGAGAUGGUGUAAACCUUGCGCCGGGCCGUACCCAUAUCCGCAGCAGUUCUCCAAGGUGAACAGCAGGGGCGUUGCUGGGGCGGGCUAAGGGGGCUAUAGCCCAUGAUCUUUUGGUUGUAGCCCCGGAUAGAAUCUCAGGAGCUACAGCCAAAAGACUAGCUAGCCCCCAGUCCCAACAGUUCUGACAUCAGCUUAGCCCGGGUCUUUUCCAGACCUAGCAACUCCCCUGGUGAACAACCUCUGCCUGUUCGAACAAUGUAGGUAAGGGAAGUUGGCAAGUCAGAUCUGUAACUUCAGGAAGGGCUGCGGUGCGAAGCGGGGCUGGCCAUGCCCUGCGGCUGGACGAGGUGUCUCCUCCCCAGGUGCGGCGCCGACUCUGGAUGUGAGCCAGGCCCUUCCUGUGGAUCGCCCCAGCUGCGGUGGUCACCUCCCUCCACUCCCCUCCCGAGG
rnacentral:rRNA from 1 species